rnacentral:rRNA from 1 species
CCUACGGGUGGCAGCAGUGGGGAAUAUUGCACAAUGGGGGAAACCCUGAUGCAGCGACGCCGCGUGAGCGAUGAAGUAUUUCGGUAUGUAAAGCUCUAUCAGCAGGGAAGAAAAUGACGGUACCUGACUAAGAAGCCCCGGCUAACUACGUGCCAGCAGCCGCGGUAAUACGUAGGUGGCAAGCGUUAUCCGGAUUUACGGGGGGUAAAGGGAGCGUAGACGGCUUUGCAAGCCAGAUGUGAAAGGCUGGGGCUCAACCCCAGGACUGCAUUUGGAACUGUCAUGCUAGAGUGUCGGAGAGGCAGGCGGAAUUCCUAGUGUAGCGGUGAAAUGCGUAGAUAUUACGCAGAACUCCGAUUGCAAAGGCAGCAUACCGGCGCCCGACUGACACUGAGGCACGAAAGCGUGGGGAUCGAACAGGAUUAGAUACCCUUGUAGUC